UGGUCAAUAAUUAGUGGUUGGGUGUAUAAAGCCAUAUAAGUUGGUAGCUGAGUGUGUUACUGUCAUAGUACAUGCGGACUUGGAGAGGGGCCCAAUAAGAUAAGAGAUGGACUCCUUACUGCUGGUAACAUGCCCAAAAUAGACUGCAUAUUUGAAAUAGAGCUUGGAUGGUGGAUAGUAUUUUGAUGUGGUACCACUAGCUGAGCUAAUUGAGAAUUAAAUGUAACCCACCAUGUUUGCAAGUCUGAAAGUGAUGAGGAUGAGGUGGAGGGAA
rnacentral:lncRNA from 1 species